rnacentral:rRNA from 1 species
AGAGUUUGAUCCUGGCUCAGAUUGAACGCUGGCGGCAUGCCUUACACAUGCAAGUCGAACGGCAGCACGGGGGCAACCCUGGUGGCGAGUGGCGAACGGGUGAGUAAUGCAUCGGAACGUGCCCAGUAGUGGGGGAUAACCCGGCGAAAGCCGGGCUAAUACCGCAUACGACCUACGGGUGAAAGCGGGGGACCGCAAGGCCUCGCGCUAUUGGAGCGGCCGAUGUCUGAUUAGCUAGUUGGCGGGGUAAAAGCCCACCAAGGCGACGAUCAGUAGCUGGUCUGAGAGGACGACCAGCCACACUGGGACUGAGACACGGCCCAGACUCCUACGGGAGGCAGCAGUGGGGAAUUUUGGACAAUGGGCGCAAGCCUGAUCCAGCCAUGCCGCGUGCGGGAAGAAGGCCUUCGGGUUGUAAACCGCUUUUGGCAGGAACGAAACGGCGCGAGCGAAUAUCUCGCGUUAAUGACGGUACCUGGAGAAGAAGGACCGGCCAACUACGUGCCAGCAGCCGCGGUAAU